UUGUCAGUCACAGCCUGCAUGCGUGAGGGAGAGGACAGCGUUUGGUUGCUUUGAGAGUCCACAGAGAGACAGAGGGAGAGAGAGGAGAGACACUUUGUAGCUGUAUUAUUUCACUCUUUUACACUAUUCUGCCCUCGUCGGAUGCGCUCGAACCGUCAGGCAGUGAAUGAAAGGAGAGAAAAAUCCGAGGCAGGAAUAGGGAAUCACUGGAGGACACUGACUGUGGUGGAGUGGAGUUAGCCUGAUGUGCAAGAAAAUGCCGGCGUGGUCAGGCCUAAAGUUCAUAUUAACUCACAAUGAAGACAAAAAGCCACCGGACAGAAUGAGGAGCAACAGUCGGCCUGCAGAUUGAUGGCGUUCUGGAAAAAUCCCUGAUUGGCUGCGCUUGACUCAAAAACUGGAACAACUGGAGCAUUUUUUUGUGCAUUUCCUGCUGUGCAUUUAAACCUGUGAUACAAAGACCUUGUUAUGUAGAGGUUAACAAUCCAACACUCAACAACUCUGUCACUGAAUUGUUAUAUUAGAUAUUAAUAUAUAUUUGUCCACCAGUUGUGCCUUGAGAUGUGUCAAUAAAUUUAUUAAAAUAUGUUACAA